UUGCAUGUGGCACCCCGGGCUUAUCUGAUAAAUGAAUUUGAUGAAGAAUCAAGCCCCAAUGCUCGUGCUAGAUUAGAUUUAUUGCCGUCAAGUGUUGCAGUUCAGCCUUUUGUACCUUUUUCAAUGGCGGUUUCUGUGUCAAAUCGACGGCUACAUCU